UAUAUAAACAUUAGAUUUUGUACAAAUCCAAAAAAAUGGUUCAAACAAGAAUUGAAAGUAUGGCUCUUUUAUUAUUGAUGGUUCUUCUAAUUUCCUCACAAGUUGCAGAUGCUCGAGUUUCAUAUAAAGAAGGUGAGAAGAUGAUGAGAAGUUAUGCACGUUUUCGGUGCCCCCAUGGAUGUUGUAAUAUUGGUGCUGUUGCGGAUGCUGAUUCCAGUGCUCCUCGUACAGCCAUAGCAGCCGGGCCUCCCCCAUAUUGUCGCUGCUGCCUGUAACCCAAUAAUAGCCCUAGAUGAGUUAUCAUCUCUACCAAACAUUACUCUGGUAUAUUAGCUUGAUGUAUUUUUAUGUAAAAUUAAGGUGUUAAAAUAAAUAAAUACUAGUACUCAAACUGUUCAAUUUACUUUGAAAUUAAUGAGCUGUUGCCUGAUUUUGAUAUGGCUUACCUGUAAAUUGAAUGAGUUGGACUAAUUAACCGAUAUUUUUCUUGUUAAA